rnacentral:sRNA from 1 species
UUGAUGAAAUUAAUUGAUACUUCUUUAAUGAAAUAACAUUGAAA